rnacentral:rRNA from 1 species
GGGCGUAAAGAGCUCGUAGGUGGUUUGUCGCGUUGUUCGUGAAAUCUCACGGCUUAACUGUGAGCGUGCGGGCGAUACGGGCAGACUGGAGUACUGCAGGGGAGACUGGAAUUCCUGGUGUAGCGGUGGAAUGCGCAGAUAUCAGGAGGAACACCGGUGGCGAAGGCGGGUCUCUGGGCAGUAACUGACGCUGAGGAGCGAAAGCGUGGGGAGCGAACAGGAUUAGAUACCCUGGUAGUCCACGCCGUAAACGGUGGGUACUAGGUGUGGGUUUCCUUCCUUGGGACCCGUGCCGUAGCUAACGCAUUAAGUACCCCGCCUGGGGAGUACGGCCGCAAGGCUAAAACUCAAAGAAAUUGACGGGGGCCCGCACAAGCGGCGGAGCAUGUGGAUUAAUUCGAUGCAACGCGAAGAACCUUACCUGGGUUUGACAUGCACAGGACGUGCCUAGAGAUAGGUAUUCCCUUGUGGCCUGUGUGCAGGUGGUGCAUGGCUGUCGUCAGCUCGUGUCGUGAGAUGUUGGGUUAAGUCCCGCAACGAGCGCAACCCUUGUCUCAUGUUGCCAGCACGUAAUGGUGGGGACUCGUGAGAGACUGCCGGGGUCAACUCGGAGGAAGGUAAU